AGUAUUUUGACUAUACAAAGGUAUUGAAAUAAGACUUUAAUUGAGUGCUAAGAGAAUGGAAUUUCAUAAAAUUUCUUUUUUAAUUUUAAAAAUUGAAAUUAAUUUUAUAUGUGAAGAAACAAUAAUAAAAAUUAAGGACAAGAAGACCCUAAGAAUUUUAAAGAUUUCAAUAAAAUUUUGUAUUUUAUUGAAAUCUUUUAAUUGGGGCGAUUAUUAAAUAUUAAAAACUUUAAUUUUUUUAAAAAAGAACCAAUAAUAUUGGUUAUUUGAAAAAAUACUCUAGGGAUAACAGCGUAAUAAUUUUUGAUAGUUCUUAUAGACAAAAUAGUUUGCGACCUCGAUGUUGGAUUAGGAUUCUUUUUUAAUGAAGAAGUUAAAAAAAGAAGUUUGUUCAACUUUUAAAAUCCU
rnacentral:rRNA from 1 species